UGGGGAAUUGUUCGCAAUGGGCGCAAGCCUGACGACGCAACGCCGCGUGGAGGAUGAAGAUCUUCGGGUCGUAAACUCCUGUCGAGCGGGAAGAAUUCCUGGCCGGCUAACAACCGGUCGGGGUGACGGUACCGCUAAAGGAAGCCCCGGCUAACUCCGUGCCAGCAGCCGCGGUAAUACGGGGGGGGCAAGCGUUGUUCGGAAUUACUGGGCGUAAAGGGCUCGUAGGCGGCCAACUAAGUCAGACGUGAAAUCCCCAGGCUCAACCUGGGAACUGCGUCUGAUACUGGUUGGCUUGAAUCCGGGAGAGGGAUGCAGAAUUCCAGGUGUAGCGGUGAAAUGCGUAGAUAUCUGGAGGAAUACCGGUGGCGAAGGCGGCAUCCUGGACCGGCAUUGACGCUGAGGAGCGAAAGCCAGGGGAGCAAACGG
rnacentral:rRNA from 1 species